rnacentral:rRNA from 1 species
CCUACGGGUGGCAGCAGUGAGGAAUAUUGGUCAAUGGGCUUACGCCUGAACCAGCCAAGUCGCGUGAGGGAAGACUGCCCUAUGGGUUGUAAACCUCUUUUGUCAGGGAGCAAUUGGCGCUACGUGUAGCGUUAUCGAGAGUACCUGAAGAAAAAGCAUCGGCUAACUCCGUGCCAGCAGCCGCGGUAAUACGGAGGAUGCGAGCGUUAUCCGGAUUUACUGGGUGUAAGGGGAGCGCAGGCGGCCUGCCAAGUCUGGUGUGAAAACCCGGGGCCCAACCCCGGGCCUGCAUUGGAAACUGGCGGGCUGGAGUGUCGGAGGGGCAGGCGGAAUUCCUAGUGUAGCGGUGAAAUGCGUAGAUAUUAGGAGGAACACCGGUGGCGAAGGCGGCCUGCUGGACGAUGACUGACGCUGAGGCUCGAAAGCGUGGGGAGCAAACAGGAUUAGAUACCCGAGUAGUC